rnacentral:lncRNA from 1 species
GAUGAUUUGUUCAGCACUUUAUAUCUCCUUGUCCCCAUAACACAUAUAUUAAAAAGAUGAUUACAUGAAUUAAUUUUAAGCCGAAAAAGGCCAUUAGAACCAUGAGAUAGAGCCACAAACACAUUGCUAACAGAGAGCAAUGAGCCAAAACUUUCUGUGAAAGUACAGUGACUUACAACACUAAAGAACAACAGUAAUAAGAGAAAUGAAACUAGAAUCUGGGAAUUUGAAGAAAUGUGACAACUGUGUCGCCCGAGGUCCUCUAGAUGCAAAAGCUCACAUCUGACCGGGCUUGCUGGAAAAUCUGAAUUUAGUC